ACUCCACGAUUCUCACAUAUCGGAGCAGAACGGUAUCUUUGAGUAAACCUUCUGAUUGAUUGAUUGCACGAGUUUGACUCUUCACUCACUCUGUCUACUGUCUGGAAUGGCGAAUCAGCAAUCGCCCUCUCUACGGCCAUGGAUUCUAGACGCAGUGCCUUUCAUCGUGGUUCUCCUGAUAGCAGCUCAUGUCCUCGCUUUGGUGUACUGGAUAUACAGAUUAGCUACGGAGAGAGAGAAACAACCCCAGAGGAGAAAAGCACACUAAGCAACAGAUUGAAUUGCGAAAAAGAAAAAAGAAAACCUUGUUGAUUUCUUUUGGGGAGAAUGUUAAUUGAUUUUGAUUAAGAGCUGGUCCUUUUAUAUCUAUUGGUUUGUGUACUAAUAUAUUAUGGAGUGCUGGAAAUUGAGAAUUUACUGAAUUUUUGAGUGCUAGUAAUUUAUUGGGUGAUGUGAGGUUUGUCUUCUGCUCUUUUGAUAUUUCGAUUCAUAAUUUUGUUUUGAAGUAACAGGCACUGCAGUUCUCUUGUUAUGUAUCGGAUGUUCUGGUGCAAUUUAUAAGGUCAGUGUAUUCUAUAUUUAGUUUCUUUUUUAUUUAUGAGAAUGUGAACUAGUGGAAGCAACCUCGUUCUGUUCAUGUUAAAUCUAUACUUCUUUUUGGUUUCUGAUUACUGUAAAGGAGGAUAAUUUGAUGAAUGAUUUCAAAUUAGUAUUA